rnacentral:rRNA from 1 species
CACUUGGAGGAUGUAUAGCGAAAGCUAGUUGCAUUAAAUUCGAUUAAUUCGAAGUUAUUGCAGCAUCGACUAUGUCGAAUAAAGUUCUAGGUAGAGUUAUGAUAAUGACAUUUUCUAUCUAUGUGUCUUGACCAAAUCACGUGCCAGCAGUCGCGGUAAUACGUGGAAGACUAGUGUUAUUCAUCUUUAAUAGGUUUAAAGGGUACUUAGACGGUAUUUUUAGCCCAAAUAAAAACAAAGGGUACUAAUUAUACUAGAGUUUUAUGAGUGGGGGGUGCGUACGAAUGGUGUAGAGAUGAAAUUCUGUCAUACCAUUAUGACAGGCGACGGCGAAAGCAACCUUUAGUUAAAAACUGACGUUAAAGGACGAAGGCUUUGUAUCACCAACAGGAUUAGAUACCCAAGCAGUCUAAGCAGACAAUUAUGAAUGCCAUAGAUAAGAAAUCCAUAGAUAAAGAAGAAAACAUGUACUUUUCAGAAUGCCCUUUUUGGGCAUUGGUUUAUUAAAAAAAAUAAACUUCUCCUCUUCACUUCUUCAUUUAUUGAAGAAAGAGAGAAGUCGAGAUGAAAAAAAUGGCUCGUAAUCUUAUCCAUCAUCAUCAUCUUUCAGAUGAUGAAGAAUACAUUUCUUUUAGACAUCGACUAUGUCGAAGUUAACAAAAAAAGAAAUAGGAUGUAUUUUUGUCUAUAAAUGAAAGUGUAAGCAUUCCACCUCAAGAGUAAAGUGGCAACGCACAAACUGAAAUCAUUAGACCGUUUCUGAAACCAGUAGUGAAGUAUGUUGUUUAAUUUGAUGGUCCGCAAAAAACCUUACCACAAUUUGUAUAUUAUUAGCUUAAUACAAGAGUUGCACGGCUGUCUUCAGUUAAUGUCGUGAGAUUUUGGUUAGUUCCAUAAAAUUAACGUAAACCCUUACUUUAUUUAUAUUAUAAAGUAGUUCACCACUAUAUUGGAUAUGAUAAGAGGGACUAAGACAAGUCAUCAUGGCCUGAAUAUUG